UGUAGAUGUGCAAAGGAUAUAUAACACCUCUCUGACAUUACAAGCCCUGGAGUCAGCUGUGAAAGUUGACUCAUGUAGCCUGAGAGGACAGAGCUUGUAGACAGAAAGCAGUAUAUUGACUGAAGAGGGACACAUGCCAACUGGAAGAAAUGGAAAGGGAGCACAAGGAAUAGGCUGGAGUUCUGAUCACCUUUAUCUGAGGGCUUAGGGUAGGGAUGUGAGACAGCAGCAAGAACCACACUGACCUGAUGACUUUCAAGCACUCCAGCUGAAGUCACAAGAAGGGGGAAGACACUGAGACUGCAGGAGGCACAGAUAAAGCCAAGUCACUGCCCUGUCUUUGCAUGAGUUGUGACACCACGGCCCUGGCACAGCACAGCACUGAACCAUGCACUUCAGUCCCAGAUGCUGGGCAAGAGGACUCCAGAACUUACUGCCCUGACACACUGAUCAGAUAUGCUGAUCCAGUGUGAAAGAAAGAGGCUGUCCUGGAACUGACAGCAUGGUCAUCACCCAGGUCAUAACUCGCCUUUGCAGUGAGAUGGUUCAUUAUGAGGUGGAGAGCUAUCUGCCUGGGCCAGAGGCUGCAGGGAGCAGCAGUGGAACUGGCCUGAAGAGGCAGAGAUCAUGCUCAGAUGUGUGCACACCCUCACUCACACCAAUACACACGCUUCUGCACAUGCCGUUCCAUGUGCACACGCACACUUCUGCCCAUGCUGUUCCCAUGUGCACAGACACACUUCUGCACAUGCUCUUUCCUGGCCUGGUGUGUGUCACAUCUGCAGGAAGCCAGUGCGUGUGCCAGAACAGCCAUGCUGCACACAGGAGACCUACUACAAGAAUUAUAUUUCUUCCCUGGUUCCAGUCACAGGCCAGAGAGCAGGUUUAUGAAAGGUUAAUGCCCCCUUA